CUGCGAAUCUUCUCGCUGUUCUGGUUCUGAUAAUCAGGACAGGCUAGAUAUUCGCUAUAGUAAGACCAUGCAUGUGUCCCCAGACCUAGGUCUGUACCUAGGCCUGGUUUUCUAAAUGCUGGUGACAAGA